GUUCGUAACAAAUUGGGGAACUGGUAAAGGAAACCUAGAGCCAAGCGGUAAAACAAGACCUUCCUGCUCCUCCUCCCUCACUCGGCGGCGGCUCCCUACCCCUGCCUCCGCACCGCCUCUUCCUCCUUCUGACAGCGGCAACGGUGAGCAUGAGAGCAGCGGAAGCGGCUGGACACCAUAAGCUGCCCGAGGUGGUGUACGGCGAGGAACGACCGCGCCCGACGCCGUCCUCCAACCCGUACUUCCCAACCCGGUGCAUGCCCAAGGAUUCCGGCGCACCUCGAAGGAAGGACCAAGGCCUGGGACGACUUGUCCUCUUCUUCCUCUAACAUCUCUCUGCCGGCUGCUGCUUAUUAGUAGGGAGGGAGGGAGGGAGGGAGCGGAAAAGAUAGAGCGACGGCGAGCGCAUCCGACACCGAUACACCGAGAGUCCUCAUCUCGCUAUCUAUGUCCCUCAGUUUUCUAUUGGCCAAAACAAAAGAUGCAAUCUAUUGUUGAAAGACCAACUUGUCCGCAAAAUACCUUGCAAACUGCGGCACGUUGAGCUAGGAGGUCUGUGCGAGUUAGAGGUUAUAUGAGACAAGGGCUUGGUCCUAUUGAAGUUACAUUUGAGAAUUUUCCCUACUACCUUAGCGAGAAUACGAAGGAUGUGCUCUUAUCAUGUUCAUUCCUACAUUUGGAAAAGAAGGGAUUCAUUGAGCAGUUCUCGGAAGUUUCUUCAAUAAACCAGCGAAUUUAUCAUCUGGUCCAUCAAGUAAAUUAUUUUUUGUCAUUGCAUAUUGUCUCCGUUGAAUGAAAUUUAUGUCCUUGAGGCAUGUCAGAUUACAUGCUUUUUGUGAACACCAUUACUUAUAAGUAUCCAUCUCAUUAUGUAUCAGGUUCUGAGAUUUAUUAGGAAACAUUGAUGAAGGCACUUGCCAAACAUUUUGGUGCUAUACUACUUGUUGUUGAUUUGUUUCUAUUGCCAGACAUACUGAGAACUUCAUGAAUAUCUUAAAUAGUGAUAUUUCUGUGUUGAUUUUGUUUGAAACAAAAUUGUAUGUGGCUGUCCAUGCAUACACAGUAUUCAAUUUUUUAUAUAGUGUAGAAGUGGUGUGGAAGUUAAAGCAUCUGUGACUGCAUGUGGAUAUAUUUUGUCAACCCAUGUAACAUUGCCUUUAAACAUGAUUUAGGAUUUUCAUCAUGUGCAACUCUGCCCAGAUUGAGUACCAAGUUGUUUGUUUCAUGCCUAGGUGAGGUCAUUAUGGCGGUACUUGAUGCUCUAAUGUUCAUCUGUGUUAUGGAGUUGGUUCUUUUGAAGUUAAAAGUAGUUGUAUGUUCGUACGAUGCUCUUCUUAGGUUUUAAGCCUAGGUGAAGGCAUAACAUGUGGUAAUGUAUGUUCUUUUCGAUCUGCCUGCGGCUGAUUUUUUUACCUCUUCUAGGUUGUUUUGCGUACUGUGGUUGCCCUUUAUUCCACAUGGUCUAUGAGUUGCGAGGAUUUAGGGUCUAGGAACUGACAGGCUCUUGUUUCUGUUGCUGAUUAGAGCUUUGGUUAAGGUGCGUUCUUUUUUAGUGUAGUCGGCAUUCUGUUGUUGCUCCUGUGAUAAAUUGUUAGUUAGACUUGUGCUUAACUAGCGAUUCUUACAGAGAUGUACUUUCAGUGAGAAGAAAAGGCCAUAUUUUUUGCUAGCAAGGAUGACGAUCUUGCAGCUUUCUGCGCAUAGUUUCAUUCUUAUCUUAUAUACUUUAUUUAUAGCAUAUAAAUACAGGAAUAUAGAUGUCCUAUGUUAGAGUAUGAAUUAGAAUCCAAAUCAGCAAUUGUAAAAAUGAACAAUAACUUCUAUUUCGUCAUAUAUGCAAUGUCCCCAAUUUUAUUGUUUUUCCUUUUUGGUUCUAUAGGAUUGCAACCGGAGGAGCCGGAGAACACGACCCCUGUCCUAUGUGCGGCCAUAUCCCCCAUGGCUUCUACAAGGACCAUAUCCCCCACGGUUUUUUAGGGAACUCUUUUGAAAGGCAUGUGUGUACAGAACACAUGUUUCAUUGUCUUCUCGUUUUUUCAUGAGUUGUUGAACAGAUCUUAUGAAGCUUGAUUGAUAGUGUUUCAACUCAGAUGAAGUGUUCUGGAUGAUCACUUUUGCAGAUC